UCCUGAGAUGAUAACGCUAUAUAGGAAGUGCCGUCUGAUGCGAUAACUGACGAGGUUAAAGAGCUAAACUGUUCUGAGG